UCGUAGUGCCGCCGCAAACUUGUUUCUUAUUGAAGUAGACGGCGGUCCAUUCAGGGGCUUUUUAGGCACUUCAUGCCAUGAAUUCUUAGAAGCUUGAGGAGAAGCCAUGGGAAGUCCUAUGAGUAAGAAGCCUGGUGAAAUUGCGAAAUUUGGGCUUGAGAAGCCUGGUGAAAUUUGGGCAACUGGAUAUUCAAGAGGAAUUGGAGUUGUUUUCAGAAGAAUUCUUUGGACUGGGAUUUGAGUUUCCUUAGAAAUCUGAUUUUUCUGUCUGAUCCUGAAGCUUUGGAGGGGAGAUUGCAGGAAUUUUCAAGUCGGAAGAUCAGUUUCUGGGUUGGUGAAGAUCGGAUUGGAAUUCUUUUUUUUUUUUUGUUUAAUAGGGUAAAUCACAGAUCACCAUAGAUUCAUAUACCUAGGUAUAAUCAAAGGCGUGUUUACAUUUCCAAGUUC